GGCAGGUGGGUGGAGCCAAGUGAAAAAGUACAGGUGGGGUCCGAAGGCUGCUUCCAGCCAGAAGUCCUGGGGUUGGGGACGAGACAGGGAGGAGGACUUUGCCGGUAGAUGGUGCCCCGGGUAAUCAUAACCACCAUCACAGCAUAAUAAAAUGGCAUUUAUCCCAAGAAGAAUUGCAAGGUGAAAAAGAACUUAACUGUAGUCGCGUGCUUGCCUCUACAAAAGGACACUGAAGACUGAACGUUCCCCUGUAACAGUUUGUGGAGCGGAGGCGGAGGUGGUGCCAGGGAAUGGAAUGCAUUUUCUGCCCCCAGACAAAGCGUGACUCCUGUAACCAGCCACGUCUAAACAUACAGGCCACAGACGACACAGGACUCAUGUCUGUCACCUA